rnacentral:rRNA from 1 species
AUGGCUCAGAACGAACGCUGGCGGCAUGCCUAAGACAUGCCAGUCCAACGAGACCUUCGGGUUCUAGUGGCGCACGGGUGCGUAACGCGUGGGAAUCUGCCCUUUGGUUCGGAAUAACACUUUGAAAUUGGUGCUAAUACCGGAUGAUGACGAAAGUCCAAAGAUUUAUCGCCUUUGGAUGAGCCCGCGUAGGAUUAGCUAGUUGGUGGGGUAAAGGCCUACCAAGGCGACGAUCCUUAGCUGGUCUUAGAGGAUGAUCAGCCACACUGGGACUGAGACACGGCCCAGACUCCUACGGGAGGCAGCAGUGGGGAAUAUUGGACAAUGGGCGAAAGCCCGAUCCAGCAAUGCCGCGUGAGUGAAGAAGGCCUUUGGGUUGUUAAGCUCUUUUACCGGGGAAGAUAAUGACUGUACCGGGAGAAUAAGCCCCGGCUAACUCCGUGCCAGCAGCCGCGGUAAU